rnacentral:rRNA from 1 species
UAGGGAAUCUUCCGCAAUGGGCGAAAGCCUGACGGAGCAACGCCGCGUGAGUGAUGAAGGUCUUCGGAUCGUAAAACUCUGUUAUUAGGGAAGAACAACUGUGUAAGUAACUAUGCACGUCUUGACGGUACCUAAUCAGAAAGCCACGGCUAACUACGUGCCAGCAGCCGCGGUAAUACGUAGGUGGCAAGCGUUAUCCGGAAUUAUUGGGCGUAAAGCGCGCGUAGGCGGUUUUUUAAGUCUGAUGUGAAAGCCCACGGCUCAACCGUGGAAGGUAAUUGGAAACUGGAAAACUUGAGUGCAGAAGAGGGAAGUGGAAUUCCAGGUGUAGCGGUGAAAUGCGCAGAGAUAUGGAGGAACACCAGUGGCGAAGGCGACUUUCUGGUCUGUAACUGACGCUGAGGUGCGAAAGCGUGGGGAUCAAACAGG